rnacentral:rRNA from 1 species
CCUACGGGAGGCAGCAGUGGGGAAUAUUGCACAAUGGGGGGAACCCUGAUGCAGCGACGCCGCGUGAGUGAAGAAGUAUUUCGGUAUGUAAAGCUCUAUCAGCAGGAACGAGACAAGACGGUACCUGACUAAGAAGCCCCGGCUAACUACGUGCCAGCAGCCGCGGUAAUACGUAGGGGGCAAGCGUUAUCCGGAAUCACGGGGUGGAAAGGGAGCGUAGACGGCUGAGCAAGCCUGAAGUGAAAGGCGGGGGCACAACCCCCGGACUGCUUUGGGAACUGUACGGCUGGAGUGCAGGAGAGGUAAGUGGAAUUCCUAGUGUAGCGGUGAAAUGCGUAGAUAUUAGGAGGAACACCAGUGGCGAAGGCGGCUUACUGGACUGUAACUGACGUUGAGGCUCGAAAGCGUGGGGAGCAAACAGGAUUAGAUACCCGAGUAGUC